rnacentral:rRNA from 1 species
UACGAGGGGUCCAAGCGUUGUUCGGAAUCAUUGGGCGUAAAGCGGGUGUAGGUGGCUCUGCAAGUCAGGAGUGAAAGCCCUGGGCUUAACCCAGGAAGUGCUUUUGAUACUGCAGAGCUUGAAUGUGGGAGAGGAUGGUGGAAUUCCAGGUGUAGUGGUGCAAUACGUAGAUAUCUGGAGGAACUCCGGUGGCGAAGGCGGCCAUCUGGCCCAACAUUGACACUGAGACCCGAAAGCGUGGGGAUCAAACAGG